AGUGCAUCUAUGGAUAGGUUCAUAAUCAAUUAUUUCUUUAAAUACCUUCUAGCAAUUAGGUUUUGCCCCAAGCAUCCUUUUAGUAGGUGUGUGGCACCUCCACUGAAAAUUCUAGUUAGGUCCAACCAUUAAUAUGACAACACCAAGUGUAUCUAACAAAUGGAUGUCCAUAUCCGAGUGUGGCUCCGCCAACCUGAGC
rnacentral:lncRNA from 1 species